CUUUGCUGGUGAUCCCUGUAUAUCCAGGGACUUCUGAAGGAAAAAGCGGAAGAUGGGCAGCAUCUAACAGCAGUCUGCAGGAACACUUGACAUUGACACAUAUCAGAAGUAUUUUUAGCAUCCGAGUGCACUUUUUCUUGGCCACAUCAUGACAUCUGAGACUACUCCUACAGCAUCAGUCUGAGGGUAAUCGUUUUACAACGGCGGAGAGAAGGCAGGGAGGUUAAAUGAUUUCUUCCCGUCUGUGCAGCAUGACAGUAGCAGUCCUGGGAAUAAAUCUUUGGACCUGCCCACACUUCCCUCUGCUGCACUGGGGGCUGUCAGCACCUGGUCAAGGACUUGUUGCCAUUUCUGCCCCUCCUAGGGAGGAUUUGUGAAGUCAAACCUUUGCAAGGAAGGCAGGCAAUGCAUCCUCUCACUGACAGUGGUAUUCCUAGUGCCCUUCCUAGCAUGCCCUGCACAGAUUCCAUCCAUCAUCAAGUGCCAUCUCAGCACUAUUCUUCCAAAAGUGGCUGAAGUCUGAGGCUUAGAACAGCUUCCAUGCCCAGCAGCAGUGACUUCAAUGCUCUCCAAGGUAUGAGGUGACAGAGAGCACUAGUGACCCUUCAAAGUGAAGGUGACACAUGCAUGUUCACCACCUGAACCUCUUUCUCCUUGCUCAGAAGAAUCUGUGCUACUUUAUUCCAAGAAAAACCUCAUUCAAUCAGCACUUCAAGUCUCCAUGGUACAAAUGCUUAGAGGUCAAAUCUGACUGAACUGGGGCCACUGGUGCCAGAUCUGUUGGGCUGACAGGUCUGUUAGGUGAGUUUAAAUCAGGUGUCUUGAUAUUGACAUGCUGGUCUUUGAUGGAAAGUCAGUCCCAUUAAAUCUUUAUGGGAGUAGCAAGGUUAGCAUGGGGUUAGUGCAACAAUUGUAGGGGUUGAUUUCAUUUUCUCCUUGGCAGUAACAUAAGAGCAAAGCUGCUGGCAGCACUUACCAGUGUUAUUGGAGUCUGAAGGCCUCCCAUGGACUGCCUGGGCAUUUUAAAAUCCUAUUCCUGCACAGCCAUCACAAAUUAAAAGAGCAAUUAUGGCGAAAUGCAUUUGUGCUAAAGCUACAUCAUCCAUUGUUACAUAAAAAUCACGUCUCUCUGUCUUGAUUUCACUUUUGGCUACAGACCAAAUUCGCAGGACAAAGGCAAAGCUGGCCAUCCUGCCGGGAAGCAAAGCCUACAACUCUUCUUGCUGACACCUAUAAUUAGGCUUGGUUCUUAUCUCAGGAUGAUGAGUGCUGGUGGGAAAGAGGAACAAAGAGGAGAAAGUUCCUGCCAGGGGUAUGGUGUGGAGCUGAGCCAGAGCAGACCCAGGCCAUGAGCAGCAGUUGCCAACAGAUGUUUGCCUGGUCUUGAAUUACGUUGUUUGCAUGCCUGGAAAAGAUAGUGUCUUAUAAAUAACUGUGCUUUGAUGCUCUGUGGCCUUGCAUAUUCAGGUCCCACCAUUAGGCAUAUACGUGUUAGUCAGAACUAGCUGGAAAUGGACUGUGGGUGGAAUUUCUUUUGUCAUGCCCAGCAGUGGGGUGUUGUCAGCUCUUCCUGGGAAGUUUUGGAGGACAGUGGAAGAAUGACUCAUCCUUUCUGCUCUGCACAAGGGAGCCUAGGAAAGCACUGUGCUUCUGGAGAAAAAGGCGUGCAAUUCAGCGGCUUAAUACUCCCAGCACGACGUCCUCCCCAUGUACCACUGAAGAAUGGGCACUGAGGAUUUAUAGUAACAUGCUGCAGUGCCCUGAGGUAGGGAUGUAUUUAUUCAUUCAGAACAAGAAACCAGAACACAGUUGUUGUGGAAGGAGGCUUUGCCCAGGGUGAUGUGGUCCCCUGGUAGGGCUGGGGUCAAACUUCUUUCACCUGGCUUUAGGGGUAGGGAGCGCUUGUCCAGGCAUUGCAAAUAGAGGAUUAUUCACUGCUAUGUGUUCUGAGGAGUCUCCGUGACAUUUCUGAGAACUGCUGCUGAAAGGGAGAAAACCAGGAGUUAUUAUGAAGUGUAUCAUCUUUUAAAUUAUUGUCUCAGUCAACAAACACAGCUGAGUUUCCUGGAAAGAGAAUUAGGACCCCUCUCACAUCAUUUUGCAGUCUGAUUCCUUUGCAAAUGGUUUUGUUUGUAGAUGAAGCAUGUAACUGGCACCUGCGUUAGGAUGAGUGAGGGUUUCUGUCCUCUGCCUUGGAAUAACAGCCUUGGGAUUACAGCUUGGGUUGCCCUGCUCUGUACUCAGGUCAAUUGAGUAAAGUGAAUCAUCCUCAUCUGCAAUGCACUGUAUUCAAAGAGCAGAGAUGCUCUCCUUGUAAUUAAACCUAAUUUCUCGGUUGCCCUAGAGAAUACAGAAUCUCACCUCAUUAGUGCAGUCAGUCUUCUGCCAGUACCAGGAAGAGGGUGUUUUUAAUAUCUCUGUUGCACAGGAUACUGAGUACAGACUGGUGCCAUUUUGGGUCAUGCUAUUAAGUGAAGAAAAUCUCUAUUACAGCAGAUGGGUUCACACCAGUGGAUACUUUGAAUUCUUUUCCCGAAAUCAAUCAUCUUUAGGGAUUUAUACUGCUCUUGUUAUGAGAAUGUCAAAGCCUCUCCAAAUCUCCUUGUAUCUGCCCACACGCUUAGGACUUGUCUGUGAGCUGAAUUCACCCAUGCAGGAAAUUCCACCCCCCACAACUCCGCCCCCCCUUCCCAUUUGCUUUUCAUUCUGAAGCAAAAAGGAAUUGCACACACAAAUGCUGAGGCUGUAAUGCAGUGCUGCACGCAACUUUCCAGUUCUGUAAAACACUGGUGCAUGAGAUGAAACCAUUUCAUCUCAAGACAAUCAUGAUAAUAAUAAAAAUAUUCCUUCCAGGUAGGGACAAGAGAGGAUAUUUCAGUGCCUUCCUUUGCAGGCAAUGUCAGGUGAAGGCAUCCUAGUGCCCAGCAGUGCAAGCAGCUCAGUGGUAGCAGGGAUCCAGGAUCCCUGGGGUGCGACAGCAAUAUCCUAUAAGCAACACCUCGGAGUGAGAACAUGAGCAGCCAGAGAGGCCAGCUGAGAUGAUGGGAACAAGCACAUGUCAUUGUGAUUAAUGGUUUAUUGAUGGGCUUACAGCUUUUCCUUCUAUCAUUAACAUGCAUAACAACAUAAACAGGUCUGGGUUUAGAUUUUUUACUAAUUUGUUUGUUCCUAGCUGUUCAAUAGAUCUUUUUUGGCAAACAGGCUUCAGUCUUUGAGUUAUUCACAAACACGCUUGCUAAAUAUAUUACUGUCCACUUAAUGAAUUCCAGUUGUUCAUUAGCACACCUAUCACUUGAUAUUACUUCUGCUUCCUGAAUGGAAGUGAUAAAAUAGAUAUGUUAAAUAGUAGUAAACUAAAAAAAAGAAGAAGGCAUGUGGGAAAAAAGAAAGUUUCAAUUAAAAAACAGGUGGACUCUAUGCUGUGCAAAGGUAGAGCAGUGGACAGUGAUGGAGCAGCAGCAAAGCAUAGACUGAAACCAUAACCACGCAUUGGGAUGAGUCAGAAAGAGAACUCUACACUGCAGCAUCCCUAAUGAAGGCUCCAGCUGCUCUGCAGAGCCUGUUUUGACCCACACUGUCAUAUUCCAUGUGUAAACCUCAGUUGCAGUUGUAAGCUUGUAUCUCCAGCAGAGUGGAAAGGAAAGCAUCUUCUCUUUCCCCAAGGAGCUUUUAGGAUCUCCAAGUGAUCUCCCACUCUGCACACAAGAGGUAAUUAAUAGAGUAUCUUAAUUUUCUUUGUGAAAUACAGACGAAAAGCUUUCUAAUUUUGGUGUAGCUUAUGCUCUGUAUUGAGAUUAAAUUUAAUUUCCCUAGAGAAUUGCUUCUGUUUCACAAUGGGGUUUGAAUUCAACCCAAGAAUUGUAAGCCCCACAUUGCUUCCCUUCCCAGAUGUCAUGCUGGCUGUUUGGACAACUCACUCCCAUUCUGUCCCUUGGAAAAUGAUCAAGGUGGGAUAUUUGGACACAAAUUCUUCCUGCCAUGCCAUGUCUCUUGGCAAAUUACAUUUUGUAGUCAAGAUCCAUUAAUAAUUAUAUACCUAGUUUUAAUAAACACACUCAAGUGCCACUAUAGGAUUCCUGGCAGAUAUGGGAUCCAUCCCAUCUCCAUGGAGCCACCGUACCCUGGUGGGUGAGAGAGCUGGGACCACAGGCUGGGAAGCACUGAGCGUUCUGGCGCUCUUGCAUGAGUGUGUUUGGAAAGUAUUUUCAGUUCCACAGAGCACCUUGUAAUUGAAUCAGAUAAAUACAUGGAAGGCACUGUGAUUUUCAGGUGCUACUGAGCUCUGGCUGCAUGAUUACAGCAAAGCUUUCAGCUCCUCUGAGCUCGCUGACAGUGACUUAUUUCAGUAUUUGUAUGAGCUGCUGUUUAUGAUGGAAUGGUUCACAGGGCAAUAAACAGGAUAAAAAGCCAGGCUGAAGAAUCUGAUUACUGUAAAAUCCAUUUAUUUUAAGUACACCAGUUAUUUCUAUUAUGGGGCAUUUUAGAAAUAAUUCUGCAUCUUGAAGUAGUUUAAAGAAGAUUAAUUUUCAAAGGGAAAAACCUUUCUCAGAUCCAUUUUAUCUGCAUCCCGGACAAAGCGUGAAAUUAGGAGCUUAUCUACAAUCACUAAAAUUGAAGGCAGAUCUUUCCCUUGACUUUUAGUGGGUUAUAAAUCAAACUGGAUGUGAAUGGCUGAGCGGUGCCGUUGUGGUGACUGAUCCGUGGAGUGAUGGGCUGGAGACACGUGCUACCAAUAAGCACGGAGGUGUUACCUGUCAAGUGACAGCUUCACUGGGCUCAGUGGCAGAAAGCCCACCUGGGGGCUUCAGAGCUCACCCAAGAGCUUUCUGGAUGGUUGGGAGGUACCAAGUGCAUUCUGCCAGCAGAAGUUCCUGUUUUACUGCAUCCUUCCUCCUCUGAUGCUAAACUCUUGCUACUGAGAAAUAAAUUAGAACUAAAGUAAUACAGAGGUGGCAAUUAAUAAAACAUAAAAAUUAGCUUCCUACUAAGUGGGUUUUAUUAACCUUUAAGAUAGUGAUAAACAUGGUAGCCUUUGUUCUAUCCACUUAUCUGCUGGUCUGGGUUAUUUUGUAUAUGUAAUCAGACUUCUAUCCUUGCUGUUGCAGUGGAAUUCAUUUUGGUUGCCUGUCAAGGAAAAAAAAAAAAGCUACAAUUACUUUCCAACUGCUGCAAGCAUCCUGAUCUGUAUGCGGGCCAAAUGAAGGACUCAAGCACUGCUCUGGUGGAUGGCUCAUGUGGACUUCAGCAGCCUUUAAUAUGAAGGAUUUGUGCUUUAAAAGAAAGAAGGGGAAACAACCUGAUUUACCUGCAGCUGAAGAACUUGCAAUCAAUGGGAUGAGGAGGAGACUCUUCAGCCUCCUGGAAGCUCCUAUUGCCAGAUUGAGCCAGGCAGUUCAGCAGCUGCUUCUCUGUGAAUGGGGACAGAAGACGAAAGGAUCUCCAGCAGGGAGUUUAUGGACUGAAAGCCUCACGAAACCCAAAACUUAAGAAGUCCUUCAUUAGAAGAGAUUUUGCAAGUGGUAAUGCUGCACUGUUUCAAUCAAUUCAUUUGACACCCACUCAUUUUGAAGUAAUUUAUCACAAUUAAGAUAGACAUUGUAGCACUGCGAUGAAAACUCUGGCAGAUUACAUAUUAUUAUGCCAUUCAGUGAUGUUUGCAAGCCUACUUUUUCUUUUUUCUUUUAUGUAAAAGAACAAGGUUUACAUAAAUCCUUGUUUCUGAGCCUGGAGCCCAUCUCUCAUGGGAGGAGGGGCUGCAGGGUUGCACUGCUGGUCCUGGGGUGCAAAGCUGGGAUUUGGGAUGUUGUCACUCAGCAUCACUUGGGUCACUGCCUCUGAAAGCCCCAGCCCUGUAGGGCCCAACCUGGCACUGGGGGUUGUGUUCACAUCAGUUCCCAUCCAGGUCCAGGGGAAACUGAAUCUGAUGUAGUACAGAGCUGCAGCCAGCCAUGUAAAAGCCAGGUGGGAAAUAACCUGGUCCAUUCCCAGUGCUGUUUUUCUGUUCAUGUGUCUGGGAAUCUUUCUUUUUCAUCAGCGAUAAGAAGAUCCUCCUGUUUCUCAAACCAUGGGAUGUUCUGGGGGGCUGAAGUGGGAAGGUCAAAUAAUUUCUGUUAAAUCAACCAAAGCUGCAGCUCCCCAGGCAGCCAGAGCCAGCAGAGCAGCGCUGACGGCUGCUGGGAUAUUUCAGUCUGAAUUUUCCAGAGAAAAUAUUUCUAUCUUGAAAUUUACCAGGCAUUAUUUUUUAAGUAGCUGGGUCAAAAAAAGAUCAGGAUCGGUAAGCAAAGCAAAGUGCUUCGGUGCAGGUCCUGCAAUAUGCCUUGAUUGAGUUGUCAUGCAAUGCAUUCCCUCCCCAAGCUUUCAUUUCAGCAAGACAGAUACACUGCAAAAAAGAAGUCUCAAAGUAGCAGAGGAUGACAAAUGUGUUUGGAUUAUUUUCUCCCCCACCUGUUUUUCUAUCUUCUUGUGCAGUGCUUUUCCUCUCCCUUCAUGGAAAGAAAACAUGUGUAGAAUGCUCCUUGAAAAGAAGACAAGAGAAACGCAUCCUGGGGUCUUCUCAAGCUCUAAAGCAGCUCUUUAACUAUGAAAAAUACACAGAGGGACAAAUGACAGCUGGAUUUGCAAGUGCUUGCAGUUCUGGAGUUUGGCUCUGUGUAAUGGCUCUGCAUCCAUCCAGCAAGACUGAAUGCAACCACAGUGGAUAGAUGGGGACAGCAGCAUCCCAGCUGCCCUGUGCCACCAAAGCUCCAUGGCUCAGUGCUCGCCUGCAUGAGCUGCCAAGGAGAAAAUGUAACUCUUGUUCAGCGCCGUCAGCAGCCGAACAAUAUGUAAAAUAUAAUCUCUGACAGAUCACGUGCCUUUUCCUGCAUGAAAACAAUUUGUGGGCUUCUCUUUCCCCUUCACCAAGGUUGUGUUUUUUUUCCCAAGUGUUGCCAGUGGAUUUUGGUGCAACAAUUCAAGAAUGAAAGUAGAAAACUGCACAGGUUUGAGCUCUGCAGGUGUCUCCAACCCUCACCUCCACCCCAGCUCACUUCUUUGCCUUUCUGCAAAGCUCAGCCCUGGCUCGGUGGGCAAACAGCCCAAGAUUUAGCUCCCGGAGGCCUAAUUUUGGUCAAUCUCAUCCCAGGAGAGUGAAUAAUGGAGGUUUUGGUGACUUCUGAUGCCUUCUUACCCGUGCAGGAGAUGCCUCACGGCAGCUUCAGGCUUCGAACCUCAGCAAUGUGUUCAGAAUUCUUCUCCUGGAGACUGCCGCUUUUCCGUGAGUUAAGAGAGUGAGUAUUGGGGCAUGAACAGAGCUGAGCAUUCAUCGCCACCAAAAGUAACAUCUGGAUCCAUCACCUGAGCCAGGUGCCAGUACUGAGGAGCAGAUGCUUUAGGAAGCAUCACUCCUGUUUUAGAGUUUACAUUUCCCAGAGCCACAGGAGUUAUUUGGUCCAUACUUAGGGUAGAAGUCCAGCUCUGGGUUUCUUUGUUUCCCAUGAAGCCACUUUCCAAUGGAGAAUGCUGUUUAUACAAAACCUGCUUUCUUUUGCAGUAUGAUAUCCAGCUUUCCAUGCUUACCAUGUCAGUCUAUGAAAGGUGUUAGCAGUAGUUGGGAUGAAAACAACAUAACCCUUUUUUUCCUUGCAAAUGGAGUGUUUUGAAACUUAAAGGAAAAGACAGCUGGGAGCAUGCAAAUGUCUCCUCCUCCUAUGGUAGAAUGCAGCGCAAAGAGUACAGAGCUGGAGUGGGCACACAGUGCUGGUGGUUAAUGGGGACUUGAAAACAGGCACUGCAAAAAUCCAAUUCUGGGAAAUCCCAGGGCUGACAUUUAUUUACAUAAAGCAUAUAAUUGAAAUGUCAGAAGAGAACAAUUAAAAGCAUCAGCUGACAUUAAUGUUAAUGAAAGCAGCACCGUGACUAUCUGCUUUCUGUGAAAAGGGAAAGAUUGGUUUGGGCUGCUUUUCCCUUUCCAUUAAUUUCCUUAAUCUGCUCUUCAGCGCACUGAGCAUUCUGAUCUGCUAACUACAGCAUGCCUCCAACAGCUCAAUAGAUCUUCCUUCAGCAGUGCAGAGCAGCUCUCGCACU